rnacentral:rRNA from 1 species
GCUAAACUUCUAGCCUCACACGUAACCAUAAAACCUCCCCUAAUUUAUCUCUUCUUCCAAAACAUUUUCUUAACUUAGUAAAGGUGAUAAAAAAAUUUUUUAGCGCAAUAUAAAAAGUACCGCAAGGGAACAAUGAAAUAAAAAUGAAAUAACGCUUAAGCACUUUAAAGUAAAGCUUACCCCUUGUACCUUUUGCAUCAUGGUUUAACUAGUCCUUUUAGGCAAAAAGACUUUUAGUCUAACUUCCCGAACCUAGGCGAGCUACUCUAAGACAGCCUUUAGGGCCAACCCAUCUCUGUUGCAAAAGGGUGGGAAGAUCUUAUAGUAGAGGUGACAUACCAAACGAGCCUACUGAUAGCUGGUUGCUUUUUAAAAGGAUUUUAGUCCAACUUAAAGUCACACACAUAUUUUCAUAGAUUUAACUUUAAAGUAAUUCAAAUAAGGCUCAGCCUAUUUGAAAAAGGAUACAACCUCUACCACUGGGUCACUUCAAAUUUUAAAAACAAAGUAGGCCUAAAAGCAGCCACCUUAAAAAGCGUCAUAGCUUGUUCUAAGAUUUAUUAUAAUUCCUAAAACCCUCCCUCAACCCUUCACCCCCAAAAAGCAAUUCUAUAAAUUUAUAGAAGAUUUUAUGUUAAAACUAGUAACAAGAAGCAGCCCUUCUCUAAAAUGUACCUUUAAAUCAACACAAACCCCAUUGAUAAUUAACGCCCAUAAACUUAUAGUAAAAACUUUCAUAGAAAAUCUUACUGUCACUAGCGUUAACCUAACACAAGAACAUUCAAAGAAAGAUUUAAAAAUAAAGAAGGAACUCGGCAAAUAUUAGCCUCGCCUGUUUACCAAAAACAUCGCCUCUUGACUAACCAUAAGAGGUCAAGCCUGCCCAGUGACAUUGUUCAACGGCCGCGGUAUCCUAACCGUGCGAAGGUAGCGUAAUCACUUGUUCUUUAAAUAAGGACUAGUAUGAAUGGCUUCACGAAAGCUAUACUGUCUCCUUUAUUUAAUCAGUAAAACUAAUCUCCCCGUGAAGAAGCGGGGAUACAUCUAUAAGACGAGAAGACCCUGUGGAGCUUUAAACACUUUAAAACAUUUGAAUUUUAUACUACCUCCCCAUCUCCACUAAAUUACUCACUUUGUUUUAAAUUUUAGGUUGGGGUGACCACGGAGAAUAAAUAAACCUCCACGUAGAAAGAAUCUUCUCUUCUAAGCAAAAAAUCACAUUUUUAUGCAUCAAAAUUUUUGACCUGAAUUGACCCAAUUUUUUUGAUCAACGAACCAAGUUACCCUAGGGAUAACAGCGCAAUCCGCUUUAAGAGCUCCUAUCGACAAGCGGGCUUACGACCUCGAUGUUGGAUCAGGGUAUCCCAGUGGUGCAGCAACUACUAACGGUUCGUUUGUUCAACGAUUAAAACCCUACGUGAUCUGAGUUCAGACCGGA